CUUAAGGCAAAACCUUACAGUGUAGGACAGAACACUUUUUCAUGAUCCAGCACUACACAGAAUAGAAAUUAUACAUAGAUAAUUGAGAGGCAGGGAUUGCUCUCUUUCCACAGAGGGAUGGCUCAGUCAAAUAGAAUGUCAGUGCUGCCCAUCUGCAGGAUUUAAAGAGGAAAUGGAUGGAGACCAUCAAGUUCAGAAGCUUUAGGAAAUUCUGGCCCAGGAUCUUAUUCAGUAGAUGAACUUGCUGUGAGCUGCACCAGGGCCUACCAGCUCCUCUCUGCUGGAGAUGGGGAAGGAGAUUGGGAGCUGUAGGAACAGAUUCAGGGGACAGAAGCCCACAGAGAUCUUCCCCAGAAGAUGAGUGGAGCAGAUCAGAGAUGGGACUGAAGGAACUGUCACCACCCACAGCCUUCUCCUGCUCUACAC
rnacentral:lncRNA from 1 species